GGGACCCUGGCAAGCCAGGCCUGAGCUUGGAAAUGUGCUAGUAAAGGGGAGGAGGAAGGGGAGAGGAGACAGGAGAACCGGCAGGAAGAGGAGGGGGAAAGUUGUGCUCUUAGUACCUCAGGUUAAAAGGACGCUGAGGUAAGGGGAGGUUUAUCUGAGUCUGCAUUCAAGCUGCUAGCCCCCUUUAAAAUUAAAUAGAUAAACAAACAAACAAAUAGAUAAAUAAAUGUCAGAACAUGUCACUGUGAGUUUUUUUUUCUGACGGAGCUAACUCAACUUAGUCAAGUCACACUAAAAAAAGGGCACCUUUUCUUUAUUUACGGGUUCUGAUCUGGAAGUGUAAACAUACCCAAAACACUUUCCUUUUUAGGCAGGGAAAUGUUUCAGAGGAAUCCAAGGAACCGGGACUUUUUUGCAUGCAAUGUAGAGAAGGAAACGUAUCAUCUGAGAGCAAAGUGACUCUGAAUGUGGCCACGGAGAUAAAAUGGGGAGUUCAGCUCCUGCAUGCAAGAGCAGCAUUUCUCAAAGACACCUUUUUUUCCUCUUUGAUUUGCUUUAUGUUUAUUUUAAGUGAAGCUCUUUUCUAUCUUAUUUUUUAAAUCUUUGUAUAGAACACACUCUGUGACCCUGACAGAGGGAAAGCAGCAGAGUCCUACCUCCUCCACGAAUGUGUUUAGAAACAGUGACUGAUCAAAGUCGAGCCGCCAGAGUUACUCCUCUUGCCACGCGUUCCCGGCUUUGACAGACUGCAUCGUUUGGUGUGUUGAUGUACCGGGAUUUCAUACACUAUGAAUAUUCACGGCGCACAUUAAAUUAACCAGGUGCUCCUGGCCUGCCUGACAUUGCCCUCCUGGCUGACUGCAAGGUCUUGUUCUUCCCCCUUGCAUGACACGGAGAUGAGGCCUUCUUUCUGCCCAGCACUGUCUUUCUCAUGGAGCUGGAAAAGCCACAGCACAUGUUUGGGAUGGAGCAUACUCCCGAGUCAGAUCUCAAAACGAAGCGUGUUGCAUUCAGCGCCGGGACACUCCAGAGGGGAAGGGGGGGAAGAAAAGAAAAAGGGGGAAAAAAAAUGAUUCAGCCAUCGGCAAAUUCAGAGAAAAGGCAGGAGGAAUGGGCCUGAAGAGAUGAAUCAGCAUUGGCUUCAGGUGAUGGAGGGAAGGAGGCAUUUCUGCUCUGCUGCUUUGUACAGCCUGAUUGAAGUCAGCCCAGCACUGGCACUGCAUCCGAACGGGAACUGCCUGCGAGGCUGCGAACGCUGCGAGGGGAAAAUCCGGCAGGCACGCAGGCUACAUCUUCAUUAAGUACAUUUUGUGACCUCCCAGCUGAUUGGACAUUUUUUUACUUACUUAUAGUAGACCUUAGAGAUGCUGGGGGAGGUGGUGGCGGGGCUGUUGUGUGGGGUUUUUUAUGCCUAUGGUGAUGGGGUGUGGGGUAGUGAAUUUUAAGCAGGGCUGCAGGAAAUUCAAUCGCUUAAUCUUAAAUUACAAGCCAAAGCAGUUUUUUGAGAUGGAAAUUCUUCUGAUUCACAGAUUCCUUUGCCUCUUUUAAGGAACAAAUGAGUAAACAAACUAUGAAAAUGUUGUUUGCUUUUUCAGAAUUUGCUAGCAGAAUUUUUUUUUUUCCUGUAGCAUUUGGCAGGGCCUCCUUUCCCGUCUGUAGCAGGUAGCUAGGAGAAUAUGAUUCAUGAUGAAUAAAUAUGGUUUCCAACA